UACGUAGGGGGCAAGCGUUGUCCGGAUUUAUUGGGCGUAAAGAGCGUGUAGGCGGCUAGGUAGGUCCGUUGUGAAAACUCGAGGCUCAACCUCGAGACGUCGAUGGAAACCAUCUAGCUAGAGUCCGGAAGAGGAGAGUGGAAUUCCUGGUGUAGCGGUGAAAUGCGCAGAUAUCAGGAAGAACACCCGUGGCGAAGGCGGCUCUCUGGUACGUGACUGACGCUGAGGCGCGAAAGCGUGGGGAGCAAACAGG
rnacentral:rRNA from 1 species